UAGAUUGAAGCCAGUUGAAUUAGGCAAUUAGCUGUUAACUAAUUUUUUAUGGGUUUAAAUCCCAUCAAUCUAGG
rnacentral:tRNA from 1 species